rnacentral:snoRNA from 1 species
AAGACUAUAGUUUCAGGGAUCAUUUCUAUAUUUCUUGACUUGAGAAAUGUGUUUCUAAAGUAUUUGGUCUCGCUACCCACGAUGAUGAUGAGAUGCGAUAUUCCCUUCUGAGUGCGAAGCGGGCUUUGAGUACUGAUUCAGUUCAUCUGCUCUCUGUCAUUGAUGACCGGUCUUUGCUGCCAUGUGGAGUAUUGAGGGAGGGAUUAUGAUCGUGAUGGG